rnacentral:lncRNA from 1 species
AUAGAAACCAUUGUAUUGCAGGGGGCACACCACUGUCCCCUAUUCUGAGGGUUGUAAUAAGUGGUCAUCACGCAGAAUGGAGAGUGAACCUUACUAGACAUUGUCACAAGUGGGAAGAGGUAACAGACAUCAUGCUGGAGUGAGGUGAUUGUAAAAGAGGUAAUAAGGAGAUCUCCAGAAACUGUUUCCUGGAAUUGAUGAAGUGUGCCACACAUAAGAGUAAGGUAAAACAUGAAAAAUGGCCAGGCGUCAUGGCCCUUUCCAGCCCUAAACAUAUGGUUGUGUUGGUUUAAUGUUAGAGAAAAUGAGCAUAACCAAGAAAGAAAGAUCUUUUUUUUUUUUUUUUUGAAACGGAGUCUCGCUCUGUCGCCCAGGAGAAAAGUAACCAUAACUUUUCAGGGUAAUAUUCUGAGUGCACAGGUUUCUCUGAGAAGGGUCCAGGUGCCGCCAUUCCUCUCUGCUGAAAUCGAUAGCCACAUCCCUGAAGGACACUGAUCCCUGUAAGGGCAAAUUCCUGUUAAAUGUGCACAGUCAGCUUAGACGGUUGGAGAGACUAUAUUUAGGAAUAUGGAAUACAGGUUGCCUCUGCCACCCGAGCCAGCAAAACCAAACUCUCCUUUUCCUCCUACUCCUCAGUCCGCUCAGAUGUGAAGAUGACAAAGAUAAAAACCUUUACGAUGAUCCACUUUCACUUAAUGAAUAUUGAAUACAAAUAUCUUCCUUUUGAUUUUCUUAAUAACAUUUUUUUCUCUAGCUUACUUUAUUCUAAGAAAAAAAAAGUCAUGUAUGAGCAGGUCUCUGAAUUCAGGAGAGUGCACGAGCACACAGGAAGAAAUUGGAGACAGAAAUGUAUUAAAGAUACUUGUGAUCAUUAAUAUCUGAAAGUAUGAUUCUUUUUUUUUGUUUGUUUUUGAGAUGGAGUUUCACUCUGUUACCCAGGCUGCAGUGCAGUGGUGCAAUCUCGGCUCCCUGCAACCCCUGCCUCCCAGGUUCAAGCGAUUCUCCUGCCUCAGCUUCCCAAGUAGCUGGGACUACAGGCGCCGGCCAACACGCCUGGCUAGUUUUUCUAUUUUUAGUUGAGAUGGGGUUUCACCAUGUUGGCAAGGCUGGUCUUGAACUCCUGACCUCGGGUCAUCUGCCCAUCUGGGCCUCCCAAAGUGAUGGGAUUACCGGCGUGAGCCACCACGCCCAGCCUAAAAGUAUGAUUCUUAAAAGCUACUUUUUAAAUUUAUUCAUUUAAUUGUGUUCGGAGAUUACAAUUUGUUUCUUUGUGAUGUGUGUUGAUUCUGUUUAUGAGGCUUACAAUAUCUUCAUUUCUCAAAAGGAAGGCUUAUACACUGUUGGUGGGAGUGUAAAUUAGUUCAGGCCUUAUGGAAGACAGUGUGGCGAUUCCUCAAAGACCUAAAGACAGAAAUACCAUUUGACCCAGCAAUCCUGUUACUGGGUAUAUACCCAAAGGAAUAUAAAUCAUUGUAUUAUAAAGACACAUACCCACAUAUGUUCUCUGCAGCAGUAUUCACAAUAGCAAAGACAUGGAAUCAAUCUAAAUGCCCAUCAGUGAUAAACUGGAUAAAGAAAAUGUGGUGUCUAUAUAUACACCAUGGAAUACUAUGCAGCCAUAAAAGAGAAUGAGAUCAUGUCUUUUGCAGGAACAUGGAUGGAGCUGGAGGUGAUAAUCCUUAGCAAACUAAUGCAGGAACAGAAACCAAAUACCACACGUUCUAACUUGUAAGUGGGAGCUAAAUGAUGAGAACACAUGGACACAAAGAGGGGAACAACACACACUGGGGCCUUUUGGAAAGUGGAGGGUGAAAGGAGGGAAAGAAUCAGAAAAAAUAACUAAUGGGUACUAGGCUUAAUACCCGGGUGAUGAAAGUCUAUACAAUAAACCCCCAUGACACAAGUUAACCUACAUAACAAACCUGCCCUUGUACCUAUAAGCUUAAACCAAAAAAAAAGUUCCCUAUAUACCUGAAAUGAAUACGCAUGCUCUAGUUUUCUCUUCAUCACACACUUGCAUAUUCAUGCCCUACACACUGAACCCCCAGCCCCCAAAACUAAUGUCAUCAAAAAAUUUAAUGGGGAAUCAAGACAAUGUCAUGUUAGGCUGGAAUGGAGUUUUGACACCUCACCAAAUGAUCUUAUACAAACAGUUUGUCAGGAAGAAAUCUCCUCAUUCAAAGACAAUAAACAUCUCCUGAUGUACGAAGAUGCUAUGAGUAAAAGGAUGAAAAAAAAAGAGAGGAGAUUAAGAGGAAUACACUAGAAAUAAAUUGACAUACAACAGAAGAAAUCAUAUCCUCCAUGAAUUCAAGGAAUUCACUAAAACAAUUAACUACUUAUGGAAAAACAGACAGAUUAAGAAUAUAGUGAUAUAAAUUUCUGAAAAACAAAUUAACAGAACUCAGUAAAAAAGUAAAAAAAAAAAAAAAGAAAAGCAACACAAAAAUAAGUCUCCCUGAAAAAAAUGAGAAGACCCUGCAAAAACACAAAAGGUGGCAAAGAGCAGAUUAAGACAAGUGAGCAACAUGAGACGGAAAUAAAGAUUUUUUUAAAAGAAAAUAAGAGAAGUUUA